rnacentral:rRNA from 1 species
UACAGAGGAGCCAAGCGUUGUCCGGAUUGACUGGGCGUAAAGCGCACGCAGGCGGUUGCGCGCGUGGGGUGUGAAAUCUGGCCGCUUAACGGCCAGGCGCCAUCCCAUACGGCGCGACUGGAGUGAUGCAGAGGUCGAAGGAAUUGCCGGUGUAGUGGUGAAAUGCGUAGAGAUCGGCAGGAACACCCAGGGGGAAACCAGUCGACUGGGCAUCUACUGACGCUGAGGUGCGAGAGCGUGGGGAGCGAACCGG